GCUGUAGCUCAAUGGCAGAGCAUCUGCUUUUGCAUGCAGAAUGUCUCAGGUUCAAUUCUUAGCAUCUGCA